rnacentral:rRNA from 1 species
GAUGAAUGCUGGCGGCGUGCCUAACACAUGCAAGUCGAGCGGUAGCGCGAGUAGUUUACUACUUGGCGACGAGCGGCGGACGGCUGAGUAACGCGUGGGAACGUGCCCCAAAGUGAGGGAUAACGCACCGAAAGGUGUGCUAAUACCGCAUAUGAUCUUCGGAUUAAAGAAUUUAUUCGCUUUGGGAGCGGCCCGCGUCGGAUUAGGUAGUUGGUAGGGUAAUGGCCUACCAAGCCGACGAUCCGUAGCUGGUCUGAGAGGAUGACCAGCCAGACUGGAACUGAGACACGGUCCAGACUCCUACGGGAGGCAGCAGUGAGGAAUCUUCCACAAUGGGCGAAAGCCUGAUGGAGCAACGCCGCGUGCAGGAUGAAGGCCUUCGGGUUGUAAACUGCUUUUAUAAGUGAAGAAUAUGACGGUAACUUAUGAAUAAGCACCGGCUAACUACGUGCCAGCCGCCGCGGUAA